rnacentral:misc_RNA from 1 species
GGAGGUGUCUGACGUCUCCCUCCCUAUCCACAUGGACGGUUUAGCCAUUUGGACACCGGUAGCCCUUGAGGGGACCUAUCAAAUGAUGAUUAAAGGAAACGGACAUGGUUACAACUGGAAGGGCACAUAUGAUCUCCCACUGCAAGAGGCCUUGGCGGGGGCAUAUAACCUUCGACCUUUCGACUGCCCCCUACCAGUCAAAAUGGUAAUGAUAUUUUCUGAGUACAUGCAGAGGAAUUACCAGAACAAAUUUUACGGCAAAGCCCAGAAUCUAGUCCAGCAUCUGACGAUGGAGUACAACAGACUUCUUAAGGAUUAUGACGUCAUAGUCAUGCCCACACUUCCAGCCAAGGCAUUCAAACUUCCAUCCAAAGGACAUUCCGUAUACGAGACUCUCAAACUGGAGUUGGACAUGAUCAGGAACACUGCACCGUUCAACGCCACCGGGCACCCCGCCCUCAGUGUCAACGCCGGCCUCAGCGAGGGUCUGCCCUGUGGGAUGAUGAUAGUGGGCAGAAUGUUUGAUGACCUCACGGUUCUACAGGUCGCCCGAGCCGUCGAGAAAACCUUUGGGGAAUAGCCUUAGUAAUUCGCAUGUUAUAUACUCCCCAUGUCUAGAGGACAUUAUUGAACAACUUGGAUGUAUAUGCGGAUGUAUAUGCAUUUUUCUUGUUGAUAUCAUAUUCUAGACAAGCUUGUAAAAUCAAAAUUAU